AUACUUAUCAAAAGGUCAGGGGAGAUACCAUGAUCAGGAAGGUGGUUUUCCCAAGGCAAGGCUUAUCCAUUCCACCACAGAUGGGCUGACUCCUGCAAUUUCUCCAAAUGUGGGAAACUCAACCCCAUAAUUUGUGAAAAUGGAGAACUGCUAUCAUGCUCUUCCCUG
ensembl:snRNA U1 U1 spliceosomal RNA